CUUAACAGAGAACUACACGCAGAGGUUUCUCCUACAGGAUCCCUAGCAUAAGCACUCACCCAUAUAAACAUGCUAAAAAGACCGAGAGAAAAACUAAACUACUUCAUUUCACAAUAUAGAUUACAUACGGUUUUCCCUUUCGGGAACCCCCGAAGGGUUCACAAAGAUAAAGAAAUUACCUUACUACCUUCUCAGUCUUAUGUUACAAAUGCCUUGAUUAUCCAGGCUUUAUUACAGUGAAAAGUGGUGCUACUACUAUUAGAAAGCAGAUAGUUUUCUGGCUAGCUGCCCUGAACUACUUGCUGCUAUGAAGGCUUGUGUUAUGCUCGAUCGUUGUGUGUCCUCCAUGCAUGCAUGCAUGAAUUAUUCGGGCGGGGAGGACAUAAUACUGCAGCACUGAUACCCGAAUAAUCGAUAGAAUACAAUUUAAAUAAGAAUAUGAGUAAGAAUUGAAAAAUAAGGUGAAAAUAAAUAAAUAAAUAAAUAAAGAAUUAAAUAAAUAAAUAAUAAUUAAUUAAUAAUUAGUUAACUAUACAAUUAUAUAAGAUCCUUCAUAGCAUGUAAUAAUCAUAUAAGAUCCAUCAUUAGCAUGCAAGAUCACAAAUAGAAGAAAUCCUGUGAAUUGUGGUACGCAGAUGGAGAUAGUCAAGGAAGCACAAGAUAUGGCUACAUUUCAUCUGACAUAUUUGUUGCAGACAUCAUCAUGGAAGUAUAAGAAACUCCCUGUAUGAAGGAAGCCACGUACUAAUGCAGCCAAAGAUGAUAGUUGCAGCCAAAGAACCCCUUAUCACCAUGCAUGCAAGCAUCCAAAAGCUAUAAAAGAAGCCUAAAACCUAUAAAAGAGGUGCAUCACGGACAUGGAGAAAGGUGAGGUAAAUAAUGCAUGGGAGCACUAUUUGAGCUAGCCAUGGUGCCUAUAUAAGGAGCCUCUUUGCAGCAUUGGAGGACACACA
rnacentral:lncRNA from 1 species